rnacentral:rRNA from 1 species
CCUACGGGAGGCUGCAGUGGGGAAUAUUGGGCAAUGGGCGCAAGCCUGACCCAGCAACGCCGCGUGAAGGAAGAAGGCUUUCGGGUUGUAAACUUCUUUUCUGAGGGACGAAGAAAGUGACGGUACCUCAUGAAUAAGCCACGGCUAACUACGUGCCAGCAGCCGCGGUAAUACGUAGGUGGCAAGCGUUAUGCGGAUUUAUUGGGUGUAAAGGGAGUGUAGGCGGGAAGGCAAGUCAGAUGUGAAAGCUCAGGGCUCAACCCUGAUCUUGCAUUUGAAACUGUUUUUCUUGAGUGCUGUAGAGGCAAGCGGAAUUCCGUGUGUAGCGGUGAAAUGCGUAGAUAUACGGAGGAACACCAGUGGCGAAGGCGGAUUGCUGGACAGUAACUGACGCUGAGGCGCGAAAGCGUGGGGAGCAAACAGGAUUAGAUACCCGUGUAGUC